rnacentral:misc_RNA from 1 species
AGAUAGAGAGCUUUCGGGCCUCUUCACCAACCCUUUGUGAACUUAUAUUCUCGUUGCUUCGGCGGGCAGUCCCAGGGAGGGAUCGUCGCCUUCCCUUCGGGGGGAGGUGCCCGCCAGAGGCCCAAACCAAACUCUGUUUCCACUUGUAUCUCUGAGUAAGCAAACAAAAUAAUUAAAACUUUCAACAACGGAUCUCUUGGCUUU